GACGAACGCUGGCGGCGUGCUUAACACAUGCAAGUCGAACGGACAGGCCCUGCUUUUGUGGGGUGCUCGAGUGGCGAACGGGUGAGUAACACGUGAGUAACCUGCCCUUGACUUUCGGAUAACUUCAGGAAACUGGGGCUAAUACCGGAUAGAAGCUCCUGCUGCAUGGUGGUGGUUGGAAAGUUUCGGCGGUUGGGGAUGGACUCGCGGCUUAUCAGCUUGUUGGUGGGGUAGUGGCUUACCAAGGCUUUGACGGGUAGCCGGCCUGAGAGGGUGACCGGCCACAUUGGGACUGAGAUACGGCCCAGACUCCUACGGGAGGCAGCAGUGGGGAAUAUUGCACAAUGGGCGGAAGCCUGAUGCAGCAACGCCGCGUGCGGGAUGACGGCCUUCGGGUUGUAAACCGCUUUCGCCUGUGACGAAGCGUGAGUGACGGUAAUGGGUAAAGAAGCACCGGCUAACUACGUG
rnacentral:rRNA from 1 species